rnacentral:rRNA from 1 species
AUUGAACGCUGGCGGCAUGCUUUACACAUGCAAGUCGAACGGUAACAGGCCGCAAGGUGCUGACGAGUGGCGCACGGGUGAGUAAUGCAUCGGAACGUGCCCAGUCGUGGGGGAUAACUACUCGAAAGAGUAGCUAAUACCGCAUACGAUCUAUGGAUGAAAGCGGGGGACCGUAAGGCCUCGCGCGAUUGGAGCGGCCGAUGUCAGAUUAGGUAGUUGGUGGGGUAAAGGCUCACCAAGCCAACGAUCUGUAGCUGGUCUGAGAGGACGACCAGCCACACUGGGACUGAGACACGGCCCAGACUCCUACGGGAGGCAGCAGUGGGGAAUUUUGGACAAUGGGCGCAAGCCUGAUCCAGCAAUGCCGCGUGCAGGAAGAAGGCCCUCGGGUUGUAAACUGCUUUUGUACGGAACGAAACGGCUCUGGUUAAUACCCGGGGCUAAUGACGGUACCGGAAGAAUAAGCACCGGCUAACUACGUG